rnacentral:rRNA from 1 species
UACGUAGGGGGCAAGCGUUAUCCGGAUUUACUAGGUGUAAAGGGAGCGUAGACGGCAGCGCAAGUCUGGAGUGAAAUGCCGGGGCCCAACCCCGGAACUGCUUUGGAAACUGUGCAGCUCGAGUGCAGGAGAGGUAAGCGGAAUUCCUAGUGUAGCGGUGAAAUGCGUAGAUAUUAGGAGGAACACCAGUGGCGAAGGCGGCUUACUGGACUGUAACUGACGUUGAGGCUCGAAAGCGUGGGGAGCAAACAGG